UGCCAGACUCCUACGGGAGGCAGCAGUGGGGAAUAUUGCACAAUGGGGGAAACCCUGAUGCAGCGACGCCGCGUGAGCGAAGAAGUACCUCGGUAUGUAAAGCUCUAUCAGCAGGGAAGAGGAUGACGGUACCUGACCAAGGAGCUCCGGCUAAAUACGUGCCAGCAGCCGCGGUAAUACGUAUGGAGCAAGCGUUAUCCGGAUUUACUGGGUGUAAAGGGAGCGCAGGCGGCGCGUUAAGCCUGGUGUGAAAGGCCGCGGCCCAACCGCGGGACUGCAUUGGGAACUGGCGCGCUGGAGUGCCGGAGGGGUAGGCGGAAUUCCUAGUGUAGCGGUGAAAUGCGUAGAUAUUAGGAGGAACACCAGUGGCGAAGGCGGCCUACUGGACGGUGACUGACGCUGAGGCUCGAAAGCGUGGGGAGCAAACAGGAUUAGAUACCCCCGUACCG
rnacentral:rRNA from 1 species